GACGAACGCUGGCGGCGUGCUUAACACAUGCAAGUCGAACGGUGAAGCGCCUUCCUUUUUGGUGGGUGUGGAUGAGUGGCGAACGGGUGAGUAACACGUGAGUAACUGCCCCCUUCUUCUGGAUAACCGCAUGAAAGUGUGGCUAAUACGGGAUAUUCUGGGUCUGUCGCAUGAUGGGUCUGGGAAAGGUAUUGUUUCGGUGGGGGAUGGGCUCGCGGCCUAUCAGCUUGUUGGUGGGGUGAUGGCCUACCAAGGCGGUGACGGGUAGCCGGCCUGAGAGGGUGGACGGUCACACUGGGACUGAGACACGGCCCAGACUCCUACGGGAGGCAGCAGUGGGGAAUAUUGCACAAUGGGCGCAAGCCUGAUGCAGCGACGCCGCGUGAGGGAUGGAGGCCUGCGGGUUGUGAACCUCUUUCGCCAGUGAAGCAGGCCUGCCUCGUUUGUGGGUGGGUUGACGGUAGCUGGAUAAGAAGCGCCGGCUAACUACGUG
rnacentral:rRNA from 1 species